GAGGUGUGGGAAAUAUUGCAAAGGCAGCCUAUAUAAGAGUCCACAAGUGCUUAUUGUCUGUUUGCUGUUUAUUGUCCAUUUACUGUUUAUUGUCUGUUCACAGGGUCAGGCUCUGUGCUAGGCACUAAGGGUGUGGGCAGAUUCAGGCGCAGUUUACAAGGAUCCCUUGCUUGGCAGGCCUGGUGAACUCACAGACCAAGGCGGAGAAGAAAGGAAACGUUCGUCGCCUUUUGAGGACGUGCCAGCACUUAUCGAAGUGUUUUUUGCUUGCCAAAUCCUAUGUUCAGCACACCAAGGAUCCAGGGAUACCUACGACAAGAGCCUGCCCUCAACUCUGGUGGGAAGACAUAGAAAUGAACAGGAUCCCAGGAGGGCGGACUGUAGCAGCAUGAAGGCGCUGUGGCUACGGGAAGGAGUGCUCGCCGGCAAGCUGCGCGACAGCUCGCUCCGGGGUGUCUGGCCAUGCGUGGCCACGUGGUGGCGCUGCGGACUGGGAGCCUCCGGAGGGGCACGUGGACGCGGGGUUAGGUGCCACCCUCUUCUGUCCAGGUCCGUUUGUUCUUCUCAGCUCUGUGGACCGGCCUCCUCCAGGAAGCCUUCCUAACCGUGCCCCGGCAGGCUCUCACAGCUACCUGCCGCUCAGGUGUCUUCUGUGUGUCCUUCCCACUCACACCCCAAGAACAAGAUUCCCUUGGCAGAGUAGUUAUCAGAAAAAACUGGUCAUUGUUGGUGAUGAUGGUGAUGGAUGUUCCCGCAGACCUUGGCCAGUGAGAAGGAAUAACUUACAGGCAGCAGACCCAUUCAGAUGAACUGGAAGGGAGUUCCCUGCGACUGGAAGUAUGCAAACAGCAUUUAGGGUACCACAGCAGGCAAAGUGCCAAGAAGGAACAAAGUACUGAAGCAGCUCAGAGGGAGGGAGGGGAGGGGGUCUUAGGGAA